rnacentral:rRNA from 1 species
GACGAACGCUGGCGGCGUGCUUAAUACAUGCCAGUCGAACGGAAAGGCCCUGCUUUUGUGGGGUGCUCGAGUGGCGAACGGGUGAGUAACACGUGAGUAACCUGCCCUUGACUUUGGGAUAACUUCAGGAAACUGGGGCUAAUACCGGAUAGGAGCUCCUGCUGCAUGGUGGGGGUUGGAAAGUUUCGGCGGUUGGGGAUGGACUCGCGGCUUAUCAGCUUGUUGGUGGGGUAGUGGCUUACCAAGGCUUUGACGGGUAGCCGGCCUGAGAGGGUGACCGGCCACAUUGGGACUGAGAUACGGCCCAGACUCCUACGGGAGGCAGCAGUGGGGAAUAUUGCACAAUGGGCGGAAGCCUGAUGCAGCAACGCCGCGUGCGGGAUGACGGCCUUCGGGUUGUAAACCGCUUUCGCCUGUGGCGAAGCGUGAGUGACGGUAAUGGGUAAAGAAGCACCGGCUAACUACGUG